ACGUAGGGUGCGAGCGUUAAUCGGAAUUACUGGGCGUAAAGUGUGCGCAGGCGGCCGCGCAAGUCGAGUGUGAAAUCCCCGGGCUUAACCUGGGAAUUGCGCUUGAAACUAGCGGGCUUGAGUGUGGCAGAGGGGGGUGGAAUUCCACGUGUAGCAGUGAAAUGCGUAGAGAUGUGGAGGAACACCGAUGGCGAAGGCAGCCCCCUGGGUCAACACUGACGCUCAUGCACGAAAGCGUGGGGAGCAGACAGGA
rnacentral:rRNA from 1 species